rnacentral:rRNA from 1 species
CCUACGGGUGGCAGCAGUGAGGAAUAUUGGUCAAUGGCCGAGAGGCUGAACCAGCCAAGUCGCGUGAGGGAAGACGGCCCUAAGGGUUGUAAACCUCUUUUGUCGGGGAGCAAAGCGAGUCACGUGUGACUCAUUGAGAGUACCCGAAGAAAAAGCAUCGGCUAACUCCGAGCAAGCAGCCGCGGGCAUACGGAGGAUACGAGCGUUAUCCGGAUUUAUUGGGGGUAAAGGGAGCGUAGGUUGAUUGUUAAGACAGUUGUGAAAGUUUGAGGCUCAACCUUAAAAGUGCAGUUGAAACUGGCAGUCUUGAGUACAGUAGAGGUGGGCGGAAUUCGUGGUGUAGCGGUGAAAUGCUUAGAUAUCACGAAGAACUCCGAUUGCGAAGGCAGUUCACUGGACUGCAACUGACACUGAUGCUCGAAAGUGUGGGUAUCAAACAGGAUUAGAUACCCUUGUAGUC